UCCCUGGUGGUCCAGGGGUUAGAACUCGGUGCUUUCACUACCGAGGCCUGGGUUCAAUCCCCGGUUGAGGAU
rfam:TPA: Bos taurus chromosome 10, whole genome shotgun sequence.